AUUGUGUAGCGUAUGCAGUGCAUGCAAAGGGCAGAUGGAGCAUAGCGUCUGAUCCUUCUUGGAGUUUAAGAGGCUCUGUAAUGCAGGUUAAGUAAACUAAAUCACCCGGGUACAGGGAGGAAUGGGGAGAAGGUAAACUGUCUGCUACACAAGCACAGGGGUCCAUGUUCGAUCCCCAGCACCCGUGUAAGCCAAAUGAGCACCCCUCCACCCACUUACCCCCUUAUACUGCACACAUAAGAGAAAGCAUCUACCAUUCAAGAACCCCAACAGAACAGACAGCAAAGGAACGGUUAAGAGAAAGUCGUGGAGCACAAGGCACAACUUUGAGGCAUAGUUGCCUCUGUGGAGGAAAAGCACAGCCUGCACUGGGUUUUUGUUUGUUUGUUUUUUGUUCGUUUCUUUUUUCUUUUGGACAUAGGGCUUGGCUUUAUAGCUCUGGAUGACCUGGAACUCGCUAUGUGGCCCAGGCUAGCCUGAACUUACGAUCCUGCAUGAGCCUCCCAAGUGCUGGGAUUACAGGCACGCGUCACCACCGCCUGGUUUGUUAUUUCCCACGUGGGCGGGAACGCCUUGCUUUAGAACAGCCUCUGGAACCAAAUGACAGUUUUGCCACUGAGCACUUAACUGGAUCAUCACUGUGCUGUGAUGUCCCACCCUGGAGAGACGUGGCGGGGUGCAGUGGAGGAGGACUGGAUGGUGUAUACUACGAGGCUAUCCAGCUCUACCUAGAGAGCAGUGGAGCCUGAGAGAGCUGCUCUUACAAGGGUGCGGUUGGUUAUUUGAGGGCAUAAAAGUGUGGGUGAGGUUGAGGUGACAGCGGAGACCUUUUUCAUUCAAGGUUUUGUAAGGCGGCAAUCUCCUGGGGAUUUCAUUCACAUCCAGGCUUUGGUCUCGCUUUGGUAGAUGCCUGGGUACCACUCAAACUCAGAAACAAACGCCAACGAAUGAAGGCCAGCAAACUUCAUAAGAGUCCAACGAUCAGCGGCGGACUUCAUGGACAGACGACAGCACUCAGAUACAUGGCCACUCAUGUCCUCUGACCAGAGCAUCAGCUCUUUGUGGCCAUGCCAAAUGAGUUAAAUUAUGAUUAGAAGGGACUUUCAUGUAUCAGCCAGAGUUCCAUACUGGAAACAGACCCUGGGUAUUUUUUAAAAGAAAGAGAUUUAUUUAUUGCAAGAAAGGAGGUGUUCCAAAAUGGCUGGAAGGUUGGUGCACAGGCUUCCUGCUGGUCUGACAGAAGUAAGUAUCAGUGGGUGUGCCCUACCACGAGAGACACAACCUCUGACACAAUUUCAGCAGUUGAUGCUAAGGUCACUUGAGGUCCAGUGUCUGCGCCUCGAGCCAUGCACCCAGACGCUGAAAUCCAGACAGAGGCUGCUCCUGACUCUUCCCUCCGCUGCCCAGCACAGGGACAGCUCCAGCAUAGCUCUCAGCUACAAGGUCUACCUGCGCGACUGGGGAAGCCUGUUUCUUUCCUAGGAUUUAAGCACUCUGUCCUCAAGAGAGUGGGACAUACAGAGCUGAAAGACUUUCUCCCUGGCCUCUGCAGUUCAAAAACACCCAGUAGAGGGAGGUGGGCAUGAAUCGCAGAAGGCAAGCAUUUUUGUCCUACGGCCGAUCUUUAAGUGAUGUGCUUUACCAACGAGUCCUUCAACAUUUGCAUCCUGUUAGCUGCUGUGAGUAACCAAGAGAGGCUGUAAAGUACAUGGAGAGAUCUGCAUAUGCUGAAUGAGAAACUGAAAGACGCUCGUAUAACCAUGGGAAUCGAAGUCCGUCGGGGAAAACCUAGAACCGUGCCCUGGUUGGUACAGAGGACAACUGUAGGUUAUACUUUAAGGAGCACACACUGUGGUUUGUUAGUUUCCGUUUUUUGUUGUUGCCAUGACAAAAUACUUGACGGAAACAAAGGAAGAGGGGCCUGAUGAUUGCAAAAGGGGCCCGCCCAUGGCUACUUCGAUCCUUGUGCUUGGGCAGAACAUCAUGGCGGAAGACGGUGGUGGGGGGGAGUCUGCUCACCACAUCGCCACAUGGCCAACCUAAAAGAAAAGAGAAAUGGUGGCGGUAGGCUUGCUGUGCAUUUCAACCUUUUAAUUUCACUGAGCCCCUAGGCCACGGGGUGAUGUCCCGCACAUCCAGGGUGAGUCUUCCUUGCUCAUUCCGUUAAUCCUUUCUACGAACAUCCUCACAAGAGGCACGCCUCACCUCAAGCACCGAUUUUGAUGACUCUAUACCCAGUCAAGUUGACAAUGAAGGUGAACUGUGACAGUUCCCAUCAGAAACAUUCUACCACCAGUGCAGUUCAAAAAACGUCUAUAGAAGAACCUACACGAAGGGGCGUGGCAGCAUGCCAAUAAAACUUUAUUUACAAAA